GGGUUAGUCCUUGGGUUUCUCUCAGCCCCCUCAGGUCUGUCACAGCCCCCUCGGGUGUCUCACAACCACCCCCACCCUGGUCUCUCACAGCCCGCCCCGCCCACAGUCCCUCACAGCCCCCUGGGUCUCUCACAGUCCUCCCUGGUCUCUGACAGUCCCCCGGGUCUCUCAUAGCCUCCUGGGGUGUGUCACAGCCCCCCCGGGUGUCUCACAAUCCCCCCAGUCUCUCACAGUCCUCCCUGGUCUUUCACAGCCCCUCGAGGUGUCUCACAGCCCCCCAGGUGUCUCUCACAAUCCUCCCUGGUCUCUCACAGUCCCCGGGUCUCUCACAGCCCCCUCACUUGCUCUGGGCUGAAGAGUGUCUCCUGUUGCGAAUCCCCUCCUGGGAGUCUCCUUCCACACGUCCUUCUUCUCUCCCAUGGGGGUGGUGAUCACUGGCUCCCACGGGUGUCUCCUGCACUCUCUUUAGAAUGAUUGGGGUCCAGUACUGCUAGCUUUGGGACUUCAGCCAAAAUUCCAAGUCCUCCAGGGAAGUCACCAGUCCACUUGAGGAGAGAUCCCGGGAAGAGGAGUCAGAAGCACCUACAUAGCCAGUGCUUGGCUUGGUCAGGGGUCAGCGCUGGGGCCCCAGGGGAGUUGUCCCUGCCCAGCCCCCCUCUGCCCCUGGGCUCCUGAAGGGGCCAUGUGACUGCAUCCAGGUGAGGAUUAAACGAGCUAAUGCACCGGAGCACUGGGGACCCCAGGCGCCAGGUGAUAAGUGCCCUGCGAGGUCAGCCCAUCGUUGUCAGCGGGUCACUAAUCAGGGUCACAGGUGAGUCUGGUCAAGAGGCCUCCCUAGAAACAGGUGUUUGGGUUUAGGAGGAGAGAUUUCUGUAGGGACGCUUGGAGAUUUAGCCUGUAAUAGGCAGCUUUGCUUCCAAUAGCUCUCGAGAGACAAGCCAUAUAAGGUUGCUUAUCUUUAAGCUGAGAGCAGAAAGGGCUGUGGGGCCUGGCUCCUUGGGAUGCCCCCACCCCGAGCUGCUGUCAGGUGGCCAGAUGCAGGCAGACCUUCCUAAGCUCUGGGCUCAGGGCCCGCUGCUCUUUCUCAUCCUGCUUCUAAAAAAAUAAAUAAGUAUCCUAAAGCUUCCAUUACUGCAGAUUCCCUGAGACUCUGCUGUGGGCUAAUCUUCAGGGCUGGCAGAUGCUUAAGUACCUGCAGGCUGUAAGGCAGGUUGUAAACACGAGGUGAUGCUGUUAUUACGACCGUCCAUUAUAAUAACGGCACACUGCCCCCUCCCGCCAACUUGGGCCGCUGUGAGUCAUCAUUUGUUCAUAAAUGUUACUGAGCACCUACUGGAUGCCGGGGACACGGUGCUGGCCAGUGUCUCUGUCCUCCUGGAACGUGCAUUCGAAUGGGGGAGAUAGUGAAUGUGUGCAUGAAGUAAGUGUGGUGGUCAGACUGCGAUGAGUCUCCUGAAGGGAAGGAGAGCCGACAUGACACGUGGGAGGGGUGGCUGGCUUCGGACUGAGGAUAUGGGAGGCCUUUUCAGGAGGGGCCACUUGAACUGCCUUGUCUUGAGGAGGAGGCAGCUGACAGCAGGCAUUCAGGGAAGGUCAUUCCUGGAGUUGGGACCUGACCUGGGACAAGCCUGAGGGAUGUAGGGGUGCAGCAGUGAUGGGCCGGGCAGCUGGCCUGCGGGGAGUGUGGGCAGAGACAGGGUCUGAGAGGAGGCAGGGCCUGGCCCGUCAGCCCCAUGCCCUGUGUGAGGGGCACUAAAGGGUUUUAUGCAAACAGAUGCUAUGAUCUGAUUCAGGCAUUGAAAGGGUUCUUCUCUCUGUGCCCCCGUGGAGGAGGGG
ensembl:lncRNA